rnacentral:rRNA from 1 species
GCCUACGGGACGCAGCAGUGGGGAAUAUUGCACAAUGGGGGAAACCCUGAUGCAGCGACGCCGCGUGAGUGAAGAAGUAUCUCGGUACGUAAAGCUCUAUCAGCAGGGAAGAAAAAAAGUCUUUGGCUUUGGACGGUACCUGACUAAGAAGCCCCGGCUAACUACGUGCCAGCAGCCGCGGUAAUACGUAGGGGGCAAGCGUUAUCCGGAUUUACUGGGUGUAAAGGGAGCGUAGGCGGUGCAGCAAGUCAGAAGUGAAAGCCCGGGGCUCAACUCCGGGACUGCUUUUGAAACUGUUGAACUAG